UUUGAUACCUAAAAAAAGAGCUUGCAUGUAAACUUCGGAGUAUGAAGGAAAGAAAUGGAGGAUAAUCUAGUUUAUUCAGUACCUGAUAUUUAAAUGUGAAAAGCAAUUAGAAUAUGCAGAGGUGGAUAAAAGAACCUUUGCUUUUAAUGAUUUGGACAUUAGGAUAACAGAAAUUUUCAUCUGUUAAUGAAAAAGCUGUGUAAAUUUUAGAAAAUAUCCUUCACAUUCAAAGAAAUGUUUUAUUC
rnacentral:lncRNA from 1 species